rnacentral:rRNA from 1 species
UACGGAGGGUGCAAGCGUUAUCCGGAUUCACUGGGUUUAAAGGGUGCGUAGGCGGGCAGGUAAGUCCGUGGUGAAAUCUCUGAGCUUAACUCAGAAACUGCCAUGGAUACUAUUUGUCUUGAAUAUUGUGGAGGCAAGCGGAAUAUGUCAUGUAGCGGUGAAAUGCUUAGAUAUGACAUAGAACACCCAUUGCGAAGGCAGCUUGCUACACAAUGAUUGACGCUGAGGCACGAAAGCGUGGGGAUCAAAACAGG